ACCUUGAGGUCACGGGUUCGAUUC
rnacentral:tRNA from 1 species